rnacentral:rRNA from 1 species
AACGAACGCUGGCGGCAGGCUUAACACAUGCAAAUCGAGCGCCCCGCAAGGGGAGCGGCAGACGGGUGAGUAACGCGUGGGACUCUACCGUACCCUACGGACUAGCUCCGGGAAACAGGAAUUCAUACCGUAUACGCCCUAGGGGGGUAAGAUGUAUCGGGGUAUGAUGAGCCCGCGUUGGAGUAGCUAGUUGGUGGGGUAAAGGCCUACCAAGGCGACGAUGAAUAGCUGGUCUGAGAGGAUGAUCAGCCACAUUGGGACUGAGACACGGCCCAAACUCCUACGGGAGGCAGCAGUGGGGAAUAUUGGACAAUGGGCGCAAGUCUGAUCCAGCCAUGCCGCGUGAGUGAUGAAGGUCUUAGGAUUGUAAAGCUCUUUCACCGAUGAAGAUAAUGACGGUAGUCGGAGAAGAAGCCCCGGCUAACUUCGUGCCAGCCGCCGCGGUAA